rnacentral:rRNA from 1 species
GGAAUAUUGGACAAUGGACCAAGAGUCUGAUCCAGCAAUUCUGUGUGCACGAUGAAGUUUUUCGGAAUGUAAAGUGCUUUCAGUUGGGAAGAAAAAAAUGACGGUACCAACAGAAGAAGCGACGGCUAAAUACGUGCCAGCAGCCGCGGUAAUACGUAUGUCGCAAGCGUUAUCCGGAUUUAUUGGGCGUAAAGCGCGUCUAGGCGGCUAAGUAAGUCUGAUGUGAAAAUGCGGGGCUCAACUCCGUAUUGCGUUGGAAACUGCAUAGCUAGAGUACUGGAGAGGUAAGCGGAACUACAAGUGUAGAGGUGAAAUUCGUAGAUAUUUGUAGGAAUGCCGAUGGGGAAGCCAGCUUACUGGACAGAUACUGACGCUAAAGCGCGAAAGCGUGGGUAGCAAACAGGAUUAGAUACCCUUG